GCGUUGUUCGGAUUUACUGGGCGUAAAGGGCGCGUAGGCGGUCAGCACAAGUCAGUUGUGAAAUCUCCGGGCUUAACUCGGAACGGUCAACUGAUACUGUGCGACUAGAGUGCAGAAGGGGCAACUGGAAUUCUCGGUGUAGCGGUGAAAUGCGUAGAUAUCGAGAGGAACACCUGCGGCGAAGGCGGGUUGCUGGGCUGACACUGACGCUGAGGCGCGAAAGCGUGGGGAGCAAACAGG
rnacentral:rRNA from 1 species